UACUAGCAGGUACUGGUUACAGAUCCUUGGUUUUGUCGCAUGGUAUCAGAGAUGUAACCAGUACCUGAUUCUCUCCGUGGCAGCCGUUUUGAGAGUCGUUUUUGGGUUUUUGGUUUGUAGAAGGAAACCCUAGUCCAUAGUAGAAGAAGAACUAGGAUUUCAUGAAAAUGAGGAAUAUG